UUCAUAUAAAAUUUUAAUUUUAGUUAUAUAUGAUUGGAUAGUUUAAUCCAAUAUUUAUCUAUAUAAUUUAUUUAUUUUUGAUUGCAUAAAUGAAAAUGAAUAAUAUGGAGAUUGAAGGCGAAAGAAAAGACAUGUAAGGCGGAAAAGAUUAGAUAUUCAACUCAUAAAUUUUUUUUUUCAUAUUAUAAUACUAUAUUUCAUAUAAUUAUUUUGUACUUUGAACUAUUUGACAUAUUUUUGUAUCAAAUUAUAGAUAAUGUUCUAUACAAAUUAAACUAUUGAUCGUAUGAUGUUGAGAAUUUUAAGUGACUCGUUUAGGGCUUGAGCUUGCUCGACUCGAAAUUAGGCUCGCUCGAGCUCGACUCGAAUUAAUUUCAAUCCAAGCUUGAGCUUAAAUUUAGGCUCGAAAUUAAUUUCAAGCCGAAUUUGAGCCGAGAUAAGCUCGCUUGAGCUCGGCUCGUUUCCACCCCUAAUUGUAGCCACCAACUUACACCAACCUUCCUCCAUUUGUUCUCUUUCCUUCCUAUUCUCACCCCUUUAUGCAAGAAAGGAGCAACAUGUUCCCCCUCCCCUCUCUCUUUUUUUCUCUUCUUCUUAUUUAAUUUCUCUCUUCCUUUCUUUUCUCCUCACUUCUCCUUCUUCCUUAUUUUUCACUUCCCUCACUCUUUAGCCCUUUUCCCCUUCCACUUGGCUAAGCCACUUCCC
rnacentral:lncRNA from 1 species